GAUCACCAUCACCAACGACAAGGGCAGGCUGAGCAAGGACGACAUUGAGAAGAUGGUCCAGGACGCAGAGAAGUACAAGUCUGAGGACGAGGAGCACAAGAAGAAGGUUGACGCCAAGAACUCCCUGGAGAACUACGCCUACAACAUGAGGAACACCAUCCAGGACGAGAAGAUCGCCUCCAAGCUGCCCGCUGACGACAAGAAGAAGAUCGAGGACGCUGUCGACGCUGCGAUCCAGUGGCUUGACGCCAACCAGCUUGGUGAGGUUGACGAGUUCGAGGACAAGAUGAAGGAGCUGGAGGGCCUCUGCAACCCCAUCAUCGCCAAGAUGUACCAGGGCGCUGGUGCUGACAUGCCGGGAGGCAUGGACGAGGACGCGCCGGCUGCCAGCGGCGGUGCUGGCCCCAAGAUCGAGGAGGUCGACUAAGUUAGUCGCUUUCAUAUACGCCAUUUGAUUCAGUCCUGGGUGCCAAUCAUAUCACCUGGGCUGGAAGUUUUGUUGUACUUUUGGUCUGUAGCAUCAGUGUCGUAAACAAUGCAAUGAUGCAUGUUUUGGCUCAUUGUUGAUUUCAGCUUAAUGCUUAUUGUUUGUACUACCUACACCUGUGAUUUCAUUCUGAAUUCUUAGAGCUUAAAUUUGGCUGUUGUCUCUGUAUUCGAGUUCAGAGUUAAGUUGCAGCAUGCCAUUCACGUUAGGGUAUUCCUUACAAGUCUGCAUCCUUUUCUGCUGCACUCCAGAGCUAUUCAGGCUAUGACUUCUAGAAAUUCUUUCUUGAGCUCAACCUAAAAUGCCGGGGUUGGGGGCUAUGUUCCAGGCU
rnacentral:lncRNA from 1 species